rnacentral:lncRNA from 1 species
GCCGGCCUUCCUCCGAUCCACACCUCCACUCUAUCUCUCUCAAUCUAGUAGAAACUAGAAGAUCUAUUUCUACUUUACAUUGGUUGCUAAGCCUAAAAAGAAAUAUUAUUUAGAGAAGAGGUUUUCCUUUGAGGGCACCCCUCAAUCUCUAUGAUAAUUUAUUGUCUCCUCCAGGGGCCAGAGGGGGUCUCCUUAUAUAGUCCUCCCCUUCUAUGCGUUUUUGGGUCGAUAGGCGAGGUGGUACUAUGUUAUUAAGGAUCCAAAAGGUCGGUGGAACGUCGUGUGCGAAGAGAGUCCGGAACGGAGUCCAGAGGUGGGCGGGCGCCCAGGUCCUCAGGGCGGGCGCCCUGGGCCUGGCCCCUUUCGGGCUCCGCUUCCUUCCCGUGGCUUCUGGAGUCUUCUAGAUGGUAGAAAAUUGCGCGGUGGGUUGAUAUCUCUAUGUAAUCCUGACAUGUGGGCCUUUCUUCCUUAUUUCCUGAUAACCCCCUGCAGAAAUAGACAAACACCAAAACUCGUGGAAUUCUGUCAGAUAAAACCCUAAGUCUAGAUGUUGAUUUCAUUUGGAUCCUUUUCUUUGUUUAUUUGAUAAUUAAAUUUGAUACUUAAGGACCGUCAACAAACUCCCCUAAGCUUACCUCUUGCUCGUCCCUGAGCAAGGAUAGACUCAGCUAUGGAUCAUAAGUAGUUGCAAUAUCUUUAAAAAUUUGACGGUACACAUGCUUUUAAAUAAGAUCUCAUCUCUGGGUUAGAGUAAACUGUCAAGACUUAAAACUUACUUACUUUACCUUCACCAAGGGACUUGUAACCGUCACUUCUAUCUUGAGUGGUUAAAAGAUAGAACAGUCUAGUCAAGUGCCAUGUCUCUCAUUCUUGAUCAGCUAUAGCUCUGGGGUUUUUGCAGAUUUUCAAAUAAAACUCAGAAAUUCCUUGUAUGAUUCUCUCAGGUCUCUCUUUUGUGGUAUUUCUGGAUCUUUACCAAGGCAGUAAUGGAAUAUGCCUUCUCUCAAAGUAUGUGGUAUUUUUGGUAUAAUGCAUAGUGAUAUUGCCUUCUCUCUCACCCUAUUCUAAUAAGGUUUUGAUAUCUGGAGCUCAUAGGUGGGAGACAGCUAAUACAUACUUACAAGACAUUUAUUGCAUAGUCAAACCAUGGAUCCAGAGAAACAAGUCAAUAAGUCAAAUCAAGAUGUGCAUGUGUGGCGAGUGAAUGGUGUAUGGUGAUGAUGGAGAUAAUGAUGGUGAAAGUCUAAUUCUACUUUGCUCUUUGAGGGAAUACAUACCUUCCUUGCUUUUGAAACUUUAUGAUGAGAAUGAGAUGCUCUAUCUUUUUCUUUCCUCUCAGGUGGGUAUCUUGCACCCCUAAUUCUACUGUUGGACACUUGUCCAUUUUUACCUCUCGUCUCACUUUUUCUUUUCUUUCGAGGUUCCGAGCACUUGCUCCUUUUUAUUUCCUCGUAUCUUUUUUUUUCUCCUCUUUCUUUUUUUAGAACAUUCAUCUCUUGAGAUAAUAUAGCAAGUGGUAGUAACAAGAUAACUUGAGCAUUUAUUUCACAAGGGGAAAACAGAAAUAUUUUUGGUUAUUCUCUCCCGGAUUAGGAGUAGAAUAUUUUUGGGUGAUUCUGGAGAUGGAAUGUAUGGAUAUAUGUGGAUGGUACUUCUGGAGUAGAAGUAGCAUAUAUGAGUGAACGUGCAAGUGAAAUCUUGAUUUAACCACAUGACAAGCUUCUAAGGGUCUACACAGCUUGACCACACUCAAUGCUCAUAAGCAGUAAAUAAUAAAUGUGUGGCUCAAAGUCUAGCAAGCAUGUAUAUAUGGCUGUGGUAGGAAUUUAAACUCUCAUCAUACAGGAACUCAUCAUGCAACAUUUUAAAGAUUUUUCAAUGAUAAAAUUCUCCAGAAUUCUAGCAUCUCUAGGAACAGAUAAACAGCAGCUCAACCUUCCUAUAUCAUAUCCGUUAACAACUUAGACUUUAGAUCAAGUUUUCAUCCCACAAGUUUAGGUCUAGAGCAAGCCUUAAAUUAUAACAGUUAUGUCUAAACUUGAGAGAGAACUUAAAAUGUGCAAAUUAGGCAGAGCAACUAUUCAUCAUAUCCAUGCUUGAGUUACAUACAGAUUAGCAUAGCCACUUUAUUUAUUUAUUAAACACACUAAGCAAAAAAAUAUAUAUAAGCAUAAAAUCUUUAUUUGAUUUUUCAUAGUUAUGUGUAUUUGUAUUCUAAAAUAAUAUAAGUAUGAAUAUAGAUAGAAAUACUUAUCGAGGUAAAUGGGGGUGCUCUCCCCCAAGCUGGAUUUUGACGUAAUUUCUCUUGAUGUAGCUAGCAGGUGGCAGAGGUGUAUUUGAAAGUCAGCAGCAUUCUGACAGCAAUUAGAAUGUCCUCCGUCUGCUAGUCUUCUUGAUUCUUAAAUUCUGUGGAGCUCAAAUAGACAACAAAGCUUGUGGAACUGAUUAAGUGUUAGCAUAAAUAUCUAGCCUUUAUUAUCUUGAGGCUCCUUAAUAAUUAUUACUCCCUGUUUUUAUAUUUUUUUUUUUAUAAAGUACAAAAAUAUUUAUUUUAUUUUUAUGCCACCACAGUGAAUGUACUUAUGGGUUUUAUGCCACUCGUCUACUCACAUGGGGCUUACUGUUUUUCACAUUUUUAUUUUCUUUUUAGGAUAAUACGAACAUGAUUAACUAAGUAAACUAUUUGAAAUAAUUGAAAAGGGAAAGGAUAACUACCAAGUUUUACCUCUUGGCAAGGCGUUCGGUUUUUUAAGUCCUCCGAAUGGGACUCCUUGUGUUUUCAGUCGUCCUGGGAUUCGCUAGGUGGCGUAGUCGGUGAUUCCGGCGGCGCCUCCUCUUUGUGUAUAACUAUGUUCUCUUUCCACACCUGACUCGGUGCUACGGUCUCCUCAGGACAGUUCUAUUCAAGUUGUAUGUCUUCAGUCCUUAUCACUUUUCCUUCGUAGUCUACCCGUCCGUCCUUGAUGAUUUGCCUCCUCUGGUUGCGGUUGCGUUGUCUUCUUCUUGUCCUGACCUGCUUAGAAUCUUCAACUAUAUAAUCAUUAAAGUAGUGGCGUACCUUUCUCAGAGGGGAAGUGCAUGUGGACUUCUCCAGUUCCAAUAUAGAUAAUGGCUUUGAUAGUGUUUAGGAACGGUCUUCCAAGGAUGGUGGAUGGAUCAUACUCGUCUUCUCCCAUGUCAAUGACCUGAAAAUUGUUUGAAGCUGAAUGUAUCUUGGUUGUAGGGGCAUGGUUCCAUGCAGGAGCUGAUAAGUGACUGCGGCCAUUAUGUUGUCGUUAGAUCCGGUGUCGUAGAGUGUCUUCUAAAAAGAGUAUCCAUUGAUUGUGCACUCAAUGCUUGGAACACCAGGGUCGUCCUUCUUGAUCAAGAAAGGUGACUUGAGUCGACGAUCUUGACCUCCUUGAGCUGCAGUGACCAUCUCAGCUGACUCGGUCCACAUUUGCUUGUUCUUCUUCCUCCUGUUGGUCCUCUUCCUUGGUUCAUGUCAGGAUUGCUCUGAAGUUUGUGUAGUCUUGUUCUUGAAGGAAAGUCUCCUUCUUCCCUUUGAUGUAGAGACUGAUCUUGGCAGCAUUAGCGUAGAUGACAGCUCUGGUGUUUAGGAAUGGCCUCCCUAAGAUGAUGGGUGCCCUCUCCUCAGUACCAGUCUCUAUCACCACGAAGUUUGCUGGAGCGUACAAGGUACCAACUCAGACACAGAGGUUCUUCAAUAUUUCCUUUGGGAAACUAAGUGUCUGAUCUCCAUUGUGUUUGUGCUCGUAGAUCCCGGUUCUUCACUUGGUGGAAUCUGGGAGUUGUAAAACUCCUCCAUGUUUUGUUUGAAGUGUACCUAUUUAUAGAGACAAGGCAGAGAUCAAGUGCAUGGGCCCUGUUGGUGGAAAACACCAACAGAACCAAAAGUGUAUUUGUUCUUCUCUAACCUUAAGCAUAGUGAGCAAGACAAAGUUGAUAGGAUCAUGAGUGUAGGAUUUGAAACAUUUGUCAGAUCAUAUAGCUCAACCUAAUGGAAAUAUAAUCUAUC